GAUGAACGCUGGCGGCGUGCCUAACACAUGCAAGUCGAACGGAGAUUACGGACGGAAGUUUUCGGAUGGAAGCCUGUGAUUCUUAGUGGCGGACGGGUGAGUAACGCGUGGGCAACCUGCCCUAUACAGGGGGAUAGCAGCUGGAAACGGCUGGUAAGACCGCAUAAGUCGGUUAAAUCGCAUGAUUUGAUCGGGAAAUGAGCAAUCAGGUAUAGGAUGGGCCCGCGUCCGAUUAGCCAGUUGGCAGGGUAAAAGCCUACCAAAGCGACGAUCGGUAGCCGGACUGAGAGGUCGGACGGCCACAUUGGGACUGAGACACGGCCCAAACUCCUACGGGAGGCAGCAGUGGGGGAUAUUGCACAAUGGAGGAAACUCUGAUGCAGCGACGCCGCGUGAGUGAAGAAGUAUUUCGGUAUGUAAAGCUCUAUCAGCAGGGAAGAUGAUGACGGUACCUGACUAAGAAGCCCCGGCUAACUACGUG
rnacentral:rRNA from 1 species